rnacentral:rRNA from 1 species
UACGGAGGGUGCAAGCGUUGUUCGGAAUCAUUGGGCGUAAAGAGCGCGCAGGCGGUCGUUCAAGUCGCGUGUGAAAGCCCCCGGCCCAACUGGGGAGGGUCACGCGAUACUGAUCGACUCGAAGGCAGGAGAGGGUAGUGGAAUUCCCGGUGUAGUGGUGAAAUGCGUAGAUAUCGGGAGGAACACCAGUGGCGAAGGCGACUACCUGGCCUGUUCUUGACGCUGAGGCGCGAAAGCUAGGGGAGCAAACGGG